AUUGAACGCUGGCGGCAUGCCUUACACAUGCAAGUCGAACGGCAGCAUGAUCUAGCUUGCUCGAUUGAUGGCGAGUGGCGAACGGGUGAGUAAUACAUCGGAACGUGCCCUGUAGUGGGGGAUAACUAGUCGAAAGAUUAGCUAAUACCGCAUACGACCUGAGGGUGAAAGUGGGGGACCGCAAGGCCUCAUGCUAUAGGAGCGGCCGAUGUCUGAUUAGCUAGUUGGUGAGGUAAAGGCUCACCAAGGCGACGAUCAGUAGCUGGCCUGAGAGGACGAUCAGCCACACUGGGACUGAGACACGGCCCAGACUCCUACGGGAGGCAGCAGUGGGGAAUUUUGGACAAUGGGCGAAAGCCUGAUCCAGCAAUGCCGCGUGUGUGAAGAAGGCCUUCGGGUUGUAAAGCACUUUUGUCCGGAAAGAAAUGGAUCUGGUUAAUACCUGGGGUCGAUGACGGUACCGGAAGAAUAAGGACCGGCUAACUACGUG
rnacentral:rRNA from 1 species